AGAGAGAGGGAGACACAGAAUCCGAAGCAGGCUCCAGUCUCUGAACUGUCUGCACAGAACCCGACACGGGGCUCGAGCCCACAGACCACAAGAUCAUGACCUGAAAUGAAGUCAGACACCUCAAGUUUCUGUGGCUCCAUAUCCACAACAGCAUUUGGUGUCAUCAGUGCCCUAGAUUCUGGCCGUUCUAACAGGUGUAGUGGUAUCUCACUGUUGUUUUAAUUUGCAUCUACCUUGUGACAUAUGAGGUAGAGCACGUUCUCAUAUUCUUAUUUAUUAUGCGUAUAUCUUUCUGUUGAAGCAUCUAUUAAAGUCAUAGCCCCAUUUUUCUCUCAGGUUGUUUUCUUACUGUUGAGUUUGAAGAGUACUUGGCAUAUUGUAGAUAACAGUCCUUUACAGGUGUGUGCUUUACAAAUAUUUUCUACCAGUCUCUGGAUUCUCUUUUUGUUUUUUGAUGAGAUUGACUUCCUAUUUGGUUUUGCUCCUUAAUUUUGUAUUUGAAGCAUUGGAAUCAAAAACUUAAUACUAGGGUUAAGAAAACAAAGGGCCCUUUGAGGAUAUUAGGGUUAAUGGGCUAUUUUUCCUCAGGGUUAAGACUUUGCCCUGAAAACAUCUUGUGUAUUUUAGCUUACUUUACGUAAUAACAUUGAAGCUAUAGUUGCAACUAUGUGCUCAUUCCUGGCAUAAAGACAUACUGAGUCAAGUAUUGAUGCAGGAGAGUUUGGAUGCAAAUUUUCUGAUGAAAAUUAUGUGUCAUCCGUACUUUAAUGUUUUGAAAUCCAUUCCUAAUUGUACAAUACUGUCAUGAAAAUGGUUCUUUUUAAAAUUUUUCUUUGGAGAGACAGCGCACAUGAGCAGGGGGAGGAGCAGAGAAGGAGAGAGAAAGAAUCCCAAGCACGUUCCAUGCUCAGUGUGGAGGCUAACGCAGGUCUCCAUCCCAUGACCCUGGGAUCAUGACGUGAGCCAAAAUGAAGUCAGACGCUCAACCAACUAAGCCACUCAAGCAACCCAAAAAUGGUUCUUGUUUAAUGAACAAUAUUUGGAGGCUUCAGAAAUGUUCUCAGCUGAAAAAGCAGGCGUUUCAUAAGGUCACUGCUAUGACACCCAACAGGGAACCCUAAGCAGAGGGGGAUUCAGGAGCAGACCAGCUACUGCUUGGCUCUCACAAAUGGUCGCCUUGGAACUCUUUAUGGAAGAGGAGAAAACACCCACCACCACCGUUUCAUAACCCUGCACCGAAUGUGGAGACAACAACCACCCAUGCCCAAAAUGAAACUCCAGCAGGGUACAUGUAUUGAACCUAAGGUGUUGGUCAUGUAUUUUGGAUCAAUAAGUGAGGUUGUACUUUUGACUGAUAAGUGUACAUCUAAAUCCCUCGGAGGGGAUAUUCUCUGAGGUCACCCCGACUUAAAUUGUUGGCCCAUGGGGAGAUGUGUUGUCCCUAUUGGUUGUAUUGAUGUUGUCUCUGUAGGCCAGUGAAUGAAAGCUCCAUAGGGUCUUGUCCUAUUCCCACCUCUUCAUGGGAAGUUCCAUUUCACUGAUUGGAAGACACCGUAAAACCCUUGUGUGGCCAUUCAUAUGAGUCACUAUUUAGGGAACAAAUGAUUAUGCUACCUUUGCACGGUCAUUUCACGAAUGUCCCUGGGCAGGCAGGGCCUCUAAAACUACAAAUGCUACAGGUUAUUUUAUUGGUAAACAGGUGGGGCUUGUGUUCACUGAGUUCUUUUUAUUUCUUUUCAUUUUUCCUUGAUUGCCUAUCUGUGUUGGGUCAAAAAUUGGUUUGAUAUUGACUUUACAGUUAGGUUAUUUUUAUCUUAUGUUUAUCCAUGGUUAUCUGCUCUGAUAGACGUUUAUGCAAGGACAAAUAUUUCUUGUUGCACAUACUAGCCUUAUUGCUUCUUUUGUGAAAUUAACCUGGUCAUAACUUAGGGGUUGGUUGUCUUUUUUUUGUAUUCAGAUCUUAAGAUCAUAUACAAGUGCCUGAGCCAUAUUAUGAACGCUCAUCGCCACAGACCUAACAACCGCCUACAGUACGCGAAUCAUAUCUUUUGCCCUUCUAGGACAGCCUGAUACACGUACUUGGCGAUGCAGGGGUGUAAUGCUCGAACCCCUUAUCGGCCUUGGACGGGUGUCAUGCUAGCACUCCCCCAUCGGCAAGGGAGUAGUGAUGCCACCACUAAAUCUAACAUUUCUUGAAUAGUUUUCAUCACAGUCAGAGCUGAAGAAGCAGUCUUAUGUUACAGUUAGGGUUAGGGUUAGAAUUAGAGUUAGAGUUAGGGGUUGUGAUAAAGGUUAGGUCACACUUACACCCCCCCUUAGGUGCGGGAGGGAGGCACUCAUGCACCUUGCCACCCCUCAGCAUGGGAGGGUGUCAUCCAUGUGCCGGCCCCCCUUGGUGAGGGAGUAGUGAUGCUACUAUUAAAUCUGAUGUUUCAUGAAUGGGUCUUUUCACUUUCAUGGCUGAAGAAGCAGCGUCUCUUAUGAUGAGGGUUAGGGUUUGGAUUACCCUGAGGGAUAGGGUAAGAGUUAGGUCAUGCUUGCACCCCCCCCCCGUUUGGCAAGGGAGGAAGGUCACGCCUGACCCCCGCCACCCUUGAUGCCAAAGGGUGUUCAGGCAUGCACCCUGCCUCCCCUCCACAAAGGAGUAGUGAUGCCACUAUUUAAUGUGUUGUUUUAUGAAUGGCUCUUUUCACUUUCACAGCUGAAGAAGCAGGCAUUUCUUAAGGUAAGGGUUAUGGUUAGGAUUGCCGUUCGUGGUUCGGGUAAGGGAUAGGCCAUGCCUGCACCCUCCCUUGGAGUGGGAGGGCAUUCACACAUGCUCGACGCCCCCUCUCAUCUUGAGAGGGUGUUCACCAAUAGGACCCAGCCCCCUUCGGCGGGGGAGCGUGUUGAUGUAUGUGCCUGCACCCCUCUCGUGUGUGAGGGUGUUAACGCAUGGGCACCACAACCCUAGGAGAGGGAGGGCAUUUGCCCCUGCACCCUGCCCUGUUUGGCUCAGGAGGUUGUUCACGCAUGCGCACAGUCCCCCGUUGACUUGGGAGGGUGUUCAGUUAUGUGCACGCACACGCCUCUAGGUGCAAGAGGGGGUUCACGCAUGUGCCCUGCCCCCCGAGGCGCUGGAGAGGGUCACUUGUGCACAGCGCCACUAGUCAGUAAGGGAGUAGUGAUGCUACUAUUAAAUCUCAUUUUUCAUGGAUGGCUGUUUUCACUUUCACAGCUGAAGAAGCAUACAUCUCUUAAGGUCAAGGGUAAGGUUAGCAGUACAGUUAAGGGUUAAGAUAACUGUUAGUUCAUGCUCGCUCUCCCCCCUCAGCAUGGGAAUGUUUCAUGCAUUACCCUGCUAUCCUGAGCAAAGGAGAGUGUUCACCCUUUUUUUUUUUUUAAUUUUUUUUUUCAACGUUUAUUUAUUUUUGGGACAGAGAGAGACAGAGCAUGAACGGGGGAGGGGCAGAGAGAGAG